GUCUAUGGCCAUACCACCCUAAAUACACCUGAUCUCAUCUGAUCUCAGAAGCUAAGCAAGGUCAGGCCUGGUUAGUACUCAGAUAGGAUUAAAGACCUAAAUGUGAGACCUGAAACUAUAAAAA
rnacentral:rRNA from 1 species